rnacentral:misc_RNA from 1 species
UCACUACUUGCGUAGGCAGUCCACUUAGAGUGCCCAGCAUUACCUGAUGGCAACUAAGUGCAGGGGUUGCGCUCGUUGCAGGACUUAACCUAACACCUCACGGCACGAGCUGACGACAGCCAUGCAGCACCUGUACUCCGUGUGUAUUGCUACACUAGCCGGCUUUCACCGGUUUACAGAGCCUUUCAAACCCAGGUAAGGUUCUUCGCGUUGCAUCGAAUUAAACCACAUGCUCCACUGCUUGUGCGGGCCCCCGUCAAUUCCUUUGAGUUUCAACCUUGCGAUCGUACUCCCCAGGUGGAAUACUUAAUGCGUUAGCUUAGACACCGACCCUUGCGGGCCGACAUCGAGUAUUCAUCGUUUAGGGCGUGGACUAC